rnacentral:rRNA from 1 species
GACAUCAGGAGGUUAGUGCAAUGGCAUAAGCCAGCUUGACUGCGAGCGUGACGGCGCGAGCAGGUGCGAAAGCAGGUCAUAGUGAUCCGGUGGUUCUGAAUGGAAGGGCCAUCGCUCAACGGAUAAAAGGUACUCCGGGGAUAACAGGCUGAUACCGCCCAAGAGUUCAUAUCGACGGCGGUGUUUGGCACCUCGAUGUCGGCUCAUCACAUCCUGGGGCUGAAGUAGGUCCCAAGGGUAUGGCUGUUCGCCAUUUAAAGUGGUACGCGAGCUGGGUUUAGAACGUCGUGAGACAGUUCGGUCCCUAUCUGCCGUGGGCGCUGGAGAACUGAGGGGGGCUGCUCCUAGUACGAGAGGACCGGAGUGGACGCAUCACUGGUGUUCGGGUUGUCAUGCCAAUGGCACUGCCCGGUAGCUAAAUGCGGAAGAGAUAAGUGCUGAAAGCAUCUAAGCACGAAACUUGCCCCGAGAUGAGUUCUCCCUGAGACUUUAGGUCUCCUGAAGGAACGU